GGAGGGAUACCCAAGCGGUCAACGGGGGCAGACUGUAAAUCUGCUGGCUCAGCCUUCGGAGGUUCGAAUCCUCCUCCCUCCACCA
rnacentral:tRNA from 4 species